rnacentral:rRNA from 1 species
AGGAUCAACGCUGGCGGCGUGCAUGAGACAUGCAAGUCGAACGGACACUCAGGGCUUGCUCUGAGUGUUAGUGGCUGACGGCUGAGUAACGCGUAGGUGACCUGCCCCGAAGUGGGGAAUAACUGCCCGAAAGGGUGGCUAAUACCGCAUGUGGUGGUGUGUUCAUUCACACCAGUAAAGCAGCAAGGCGCUUCGGGAGGGGCCUGCGUCCGAUUAGCUCGUUGGUGGGGUAACGGCUCACCAAGGCGACGAUCGGUAGGUGGUCUGAGAGGACGAUCACCCAGACUGGGACUGAGACACGGCCCAGACUCCUACGGGAGGCAGCAGUCGGGAAUUUUGCGCAAUGGACGAAAGUCUGACGCAGCAACGCCGCGUGAGGGAUGAAGGCCUUCGGGUUGUAAACCUCUUUUAUCAGGGAAGAUAAUGACGGUACCUGAUGAAUAAGUCACGGCUAACUACGUGCCAGCAGCCGCGGU